UACGUAGGGUGCAAGCGUUGUCCGGAAUUAUUGGGCGUAAAGAGCUCGUAGGCGGUCUGUCGCGUCUGCUGUGAAAAUCCAGGGCUCAACCCUGGACCUGCAGUGGGUACGGGCAGACUAGAGUGUGGUAGGGGAGACUGGAAUUCCUGGUGUAGCGGUGAAAUGCGCAGAUAUCAGGAGGAACACCGAUGGCGAAGGCAGGUCUC
rnacentral:rRNA from 1 species